AUACUUACCUAGACGGGGUCAAUGGGUGAUCAAUAAGGCCCAUAGCCUAGGAUGGUGACUUCUAUUGCACUUUGGAAGGAUGCCAGCCUAAGGUCGGACCAAGUGAUAAAGCCUACAUCAUAAUUUAUGGUAAAGGGAGCCUGUGUUUGUGUGGCCCCUAC
rfam:Capsicum annuum cultivar Zunla-1 chromosome 6, whole genome shotgun sequence